GACGAACGCUGGCGGCGUGCCUAAUACAUGCAAGUGGGACGCAAGGAAACACACUGUGCUUGCACACCGUGUUUUCUUGAGUCGCGAACGGGUGAGUAACGCGUAGGUAACCUGCCUAUUAGCGGGGGAUAACUAUUGGAAACGAUAGCUAAUACCGCAUAAUAUUAAUUAUUGCAUGAUAAUUGAUUGAAAGAUGCAAGCGCAUCACUAGUAGAUGGACCUGCGUUGUAUUAGCUAGUUGGUAAGGUAAGAGCUUACCAAGGCGACGAUACAUAGCCGACCUGAGAGGGUGAUCGGCCACACUGGGACUGAGACACGGCCCAGACUCCUACGGGAGGCAGCAGUAGGGAAUCUUCGGCAAUGGACGAAAGUCUGACCGAGCAACGCCGCGUGAGUGAAGAAGGGUUUCGGACCGUAAAGCUCUGUUGUAAGUCAAGAACGUGUGUGAGAGUGGAAAGUUCACACAGUGACGGUAGCUUACCAGAAAGGGACGGCUAACUACGUG
rnacentral:rRNA from 1 species